UACGUACCGUACGAACGUUAUUCGGAUUCACUGGGCUUAAAGGGUGCGUAGGCGGCGCGGAAAGUUGGAUGUGAAAGCCCUCAGCUCAACUGAGGAAUUGCGUCUGAAACUACCGUGCUCGAGGGAGACAGAGGUGAGCGGAACUUACGGUGGAGCGGUGAAAUGCGUUGAUAUCGUAAGGAACACCGGUGGCGAAAGCGGCUCACUGGGUCUCAUCUGACGCUGAGGCACGAAAGCUAGGGGAGCGAACGGG
rnacentral:rRNA from 1 species